rnacentral:rRNA from 1 species
UACGGGGGGGGCGAGCGUUUUUCGGAAUUACUGGGCGUAAAGGGCGCGUAGGCGGGUGGACAAGUCUCUCGUGAAAGCCCACGGCUCAACCGUGGAAUUGCGGGAGAUGCUGUCUGUCUUGAGUCCGGGAGAGGAGGGUGGAAUUCCCAGUGUAGCGGUGAAAUGCGUAGAUAUUGGGAGGAACACCGGUGGCGAAGGCGGCUCUCUGGACCGGUACUGACGCUGAGGCGCGAAAGCUAGGGGAGCAAACGGG